rnacentral:rRNA from 1 species
GACAGAGGAUGCAAGCGUUAUCCGGAAUGAUUGGGCGUAAAGCGUCUGUAGGUGGCUUUUUAAGUCCGCCGUCAAAUCCCAGGGCUCAACCCUGGACAGGCGGUGGAAACUACCAAGCUGGAGUACGGUAGGGGCAGAGGGAAUUUCCGGUGGAGCGGUGAAAGUGCGUGAGAGAUCGGAAAGAACACCAACGGCGAAAGCAACUCUGCUGGGCCGACACUGACACUGGAGAGACGAAAGCUAGGGGAGCGAAUGGG